AGGAAGGAAGGAAGGAAGGAAGGAAGGAAGGAGGUGGAGAAGCUGUUGUCGUAGAUGAGUGAAUUGCCCUUUUACAGAGGAAAAAUAGAAAAUCUCCACGUUUGAGCUGCAAAUCACCUCACUUUAAUCUGUCCACAGACUAGUUGAGAAUAGCGCCUAAGUGCCACUCUGGCUGCAUUUUCUAGAUUUUGGUAGGCAUACAGUGACUGCCUUUACUGCAUGUAAGCCACUUUUAUUUCUUCUUUGGGCACAUCAGCCCAAUUACCUUCCAGACACAGUAAUUUACCUGCGAUGUAAAGUUCAGAGAAUAAAGUUCAUAUCAAUUUUGGGCUAUCACGGAAUAAUCACAAGUUUAAUAGUUUAAACUCCCUAAUAGCUGGUUCCAGAAGUUUUCAGAAAAUAAAAGAAAAUAAAAAUCGUGAUGAAUAAUAGUUUUGUUAAUCCUAUUUGAGUGUGAGCUGUGAAAAAUAUAAAAGGGAAUUUUAAAAAUCAAUUUCUGUCCUCUGUAAUUAGUGCCUGGGGAACAGAUCUUCAGCAAAUAGUCAUAGCAGUGAAACAUUUAUAGACUUGCUGGUUAGGUUUACCUAAAGAUUUUCUAGCCACAUUUCAGAACUAGCAUCCAGGUGUCAUUAGCCUACUCUGAAAACUCGGGACCUGCACAUCUCUAAAAGUAUAAUAUAGAAAAUCCUUUGUAAUCAUAUAGCAGAUGUGGUAGAAAUGUAUAUUGUCUAAAUUCCCAGUAAUAAAUAAGAUUUCAUGACCAAGAUCACAACUUAUAACUGCAAAAUUUCUCUCGACUCCAAAGAAAACAGAAUUUGGAUCUUUGAAGCACUAGUAUAGCAAAUAUAAAAUUCUUGUAAAUGAACACCUUUCUAGGAAGAAGACUACUAAAGCUGUCUUACUGUCUGCUUCAAAAUAAAACCACAAGUGAAAAUCUUUCUGAUGAUUAAAAUACACUUAACUGAACCGAUCUGUCAUCUAUGCAUCCUGCUUUAUCUAACCGCUCUCUCUAUUAGCACUCAUCAUCAUGGUAUCUGAGCUUCUUCUGCUGGAGGUGUUAUUCCAAUUACUUUCAUGCCAUUGCUGACAUGUAACUGAGAGCAAAAUGUGAAACUCCGCUAGGAAAAUAAUGCUCCAAUUAGUUGCUCCCUCUGUCUAACAACACAGAAAGUCACACUGUGAAAGAUUAUUUCCAGAGCUUGCUCUCUGUGGUAGUCUCUCCUCCUUUCUUUUUUAUUGUUGCCACUGCGAUGUUGACACAGAAGUUUGGCAGUCUCUCAUCUGAAUUACAUAUUGGAGCUCAAGCUAUUUAUGGUAGUCAAUACAAAUCAAAUACCUCCUAUGUACAUUAGCCACUGCGCGGCUGACUUUUCCUGCUUCUCCUGUGCUGACCCAAAUCUCUGUAGGAGACAGAGAAAGCAUUUUUCUUAUGUACCCUGACUCCUAAUUGAAAUAGGAAAACGCCUGAGGAGGAGAGCUGUAAAUAUACAACAAGUCUGAAGAAACUACUGUUUUGUGAUCACGUACAAACUGCCUCUUUCUCAGCAGUUCUCUCGGAUUUAGAAUAGAUUUCAUGACUGAAAAUAUUUCACCCAGUCAUAGGAUAAGAAAGAAUUAUAAACAAUUUUGGAGACUGCUCCUGAGCUAAAUCUCAGUGUUUUGAUCCUCUACCUUAAAUAUCAGAUAUCUUGCUUAAGGGCAGGAUAAACAGCACUUCGAGAGUUUCACUGUGGACCCUCCUAUCCCACCGGCAGUUGCAGUUAUUUGUCAAGUUUAAAAGUAGUGGUUGGAAACCACCUUAUUCCUCUUCAGCCCUUGCCUUCCAGAAAGCAAACAACAAGCAGGUAAGAGGACUGAAGAGCAAUGUCUCAUCAAGCUACAACCAGGCUUUCUCCUUGAUUCACGUCCCAUCUGCUGGUGGACACUGCUCUCUUCCCCUUGGUCAAACAGCAUUCAAAUGCUCCACCCAAGGAAUGGAUCUCAUCUGGGGAAUGUAAUUUGGGGCAUCUUAAAAGAAAAUGAAUAUGGAAACAAGACUCAAAGAAGCUCAGGCUCUGUGCCAAGCAAUCACCACCACCUACCAAUCUUAGCAAGAAAUGGCACAGCAGAGAUCCUUAAACCACGGACUUCAACCCCAGCUUAGAACACAGGAACACAUUGCCUGGACAUUGCCAAGUAGGUUAAAAUCCCCUGCUAUGACAACCCAGCUCUUUCCACAUGUGCCUGCGCACAGACAGAGGUAUUGGUAGCAUAUCCCUAGGACUGAGAUCCACCUAUGAGAAGCUGCCUACACAGGUCUCCAGUGAGACUCAGAGCAGAACAGCAAACAGAAUCUGCUCAUGCAUAAGAGGUAGGACUCAGCCAGACCACUGUGAGCUGUCUGGACAGUAUGAAGGAAGACAAAACCCAUGCAUCCUGCUGGGAUACGGAUGGUUUGCAAUCCAUCUCUGACUAUCAGAUAUCCAGGCUCCUGGUGACCUCUUUGGAGCUGUACCUCUUAGUACAGCUGUGUGAUAAACUCUCAUCCAGCAUAUAAGAUGAUAGUAGUCUUAGUAAAGGAAGAGUUAAUUCUGCUAACAGCGUGAGCUGUUCUUGUGAAGCCUUGAGCCUAACAGCAACCACAGCCAUGAGAAUACCUGCGCUGAGACCAUUGUUCAUGAGAGGGGACAGCAAACAGCACUGAUGUUCAAUAGCUGUUACAAUUACACUCCCUUACUUCAGUUUCUCACUUAAACAUGACUGCUUCUGCUGAGUGGUAAAGUGUCUACAGCAGAAACAAUUCAGUUUACUGUCUAUCUGAGAGAAAAACUGCUUUGAAGCUUUGUGGAUCAUCAGAACCAAUAGAAAGGAUUAGCUGAUGAUUUUGUGAAUGAGAUGAGAUUAUGAGAUGAGCUGGAAUACAGUUUUACGUGGUUACAAUAGGCUGAUGUUUUAGGAUCAUUAGGCUUUUCUUUCUCUUUUUUUUUUAAAGAAAACACCCAACAAACUCAGAACGUGUAAGGGCUAAUGCUGAGCCUGUCACAGACAGCAGCAGACAUCCCUUCACCUUAAUUCUCUCCAGUAUGGCCUGACCAGUGCAACACUGUGCCGAUACUUCCUUUGCUGAUGGUAACAGUCUUAGUAAUUAAUACUCAUAUUGUGUGUUAAAGGAAAUAGCAAUCCCCUUUCUACAGUGAUAUGCAGCCCAGAACCUCGCAGCAUACAACGUUCUCAAGAUAUUUGGAGAUUAAGACACUUUGGUCUGCAUAUAACACCUUUCUCCAACAGCAGUCAGAAAAGCAGAAUGGUGAAGACAUUUCCAUAGCACUGACCCCUUGGAGGAAUUUCAUCUCUGUAUACUGCUGUCUCAAACUGUUUCCUGGAGCAUUAGCAGAGGACUGUGCGGUUUUGCUGUCCACACUGUGGUGGUUCUAUACACGUGUCAGCGAAGGUUCAGCGUACUGAAGAAAGGUCCUUGUUCUAUUAAAGGAGUUGCUACCUGAAAAAGUUUUAACAUACAAAGGUAAAAUAUCUCUCUGAGCAUAGGUUUGAAGCUUCUUAGAUAAAUAAUGGUCAUGAAAACGUGACAAAGCCUACUAAAAGAAUCUAUGAAACCAAAGUGAAGGAUCAGGGGAGUUGCUGAUCAGAAUCUUUUUCAGCAGCCUUCUUUUUGGUUAAAAAUAAGCGCGACUGACCUUGAAACCCUUCUAAAGAAAGUUUCUCCUUUGAGGAGUCACCUUCAAAUUGGCAAGUACUGAAGCUUUAGUGUUCUGUAGUAACACCCCCAGCACCACCUCCGCUCCCCAAAUGUAAUUAAAUUCAGAUUAAAACUUUAAACAGCUGAAAAUUAAAUCAUAUAUUUGGGGUUAUUUGUACAAUUCCCUUGGCAGUUCUGAACAUGUGGGAUGAUUUACCAUUUAAACUAUUAAGAUUUAACUUUUUCCCUAAAUAGGGAGAACUAUGGAUCCAAUGGCAUUACAGAGCUGCAAAGAUUUCAGUAUUAUUACCAGAGAUACGUGAAUACGAAUGGAACAGGUACACUGUCCCUUCUAAACAUCCUUAGCCUUUCAAUUAUUUCAGUGUAAGAGAGUCUGUCAAUGCCAAACACGCUGCAGUCUCUCCUGACGCUGUUACCUGCUUGGUCCUGUAUCAAGUUAUAGCACCGAGACAAUAUGUAUAAGCUGGCAAGCAGAAAAGGUUAUUUAAUGGCCACCACAAUGUUAUAUGUGACUUACUUUAAUCUGAGGUCUCGAGAGCCACUUCAGAUAGGUGAGUUGUCUUCUGGCUCUGCAGAAAUGGGUGAUAACUACCUGGAAACAGCAAAAAACCUUCACACCCCCAAAUUCUGCUUUAGCAAGAGAUAUGAAUGAAGGGACCGUUACCUGUGCCUGGCUUCUUUUUAAAUCAUUUGCCUGUGUCAUAAUUUAUUUGUCCAUUUCUUUGUGCAGACUUUGUGGUUACCUUCACAUUUUAUCUCACGGGAAGGAACAGCGAGCUGCUGUUUUCCCUGUAUUGCAUAGCUCACACUGCAAUCGAAGGAGCAGUGCUCCCAGCACAGUAGACCAGUUCUUAGUAUUAACAAGCAAAAGACCUCCAUACUCUGAAUUCUGCUUUAUUUUAUGUCUAGUGAUAUACUCCAGAAAGCAGAUUUACUCUUCCAGGGUAUGAAACCUGUCACCACACCUUCUGUUCAUUUUUUGCUGGGUACCAAGGAGACAAGAAACUUUUCUUUUGGGUAAGUUGUGGGUGUUUUUCUGACAGCCUCUGUGUCUUGUACACUUGUACCAUACUUAAUGUAGAUAAAAGUACAAAUAUUUUACAUAAUUACAUGGAUGUUAACAUUCAUAGUGCCUAUGGCAUCAGUUCUAAUUUAGUAAAGUGAAUCAGUUCCUUUUCCUAACAAUUCAAAACUGCUGUGCCAAACAGAAAGGCUGCAUCGUGCUUGGCUGUUACCACACUUGAACAUUAGCAAUUCUAAUUGUAAAACUCCUUUAAGCGUUACUCUACUGGAAAAAAAAAAAACAAAACAGCUUUUUUAAAGUGUAGAAGUUUUUCCUCAAAUCUCAGCUUUGAGACCUUAUGAGCAGAAACUGCAACAGCAGAAUCAAUUCAUACCCAUGGGUGAAGGUGUAAGAGUUGCGCUAUUUUUCUCCUCGCACCGUUGCCUUUUCUCGUUGGUCUGUUACACCUGGUCACAGAUGGUACAUGUUGUUAAUCUGGACACCGUUAGCACAGCAAGGACAUGCUAGCAGAGCAGAAAAUGGCUUACUGAGUUUUCACCUCAAAAAUUAAUUGAGGCAGCAGAACAAAUUUCUAGAAACUGGUGGGAAGAUGCCUAGAAAGCAAGUGCAGAAAAUCCUUGAAAGAAGUAGGGAAAUGCUAGGAAGAACAGGGAAAAAUCCUAGAAAGCCCAGGGCAAUUCCCUCAAAAUCACCACCCAAAUUUCUGGAGAGCAACUGAUGAAGUCCUUCAACACAGAAGAAAAUUCCUCAGAAACAGUGGUGAAAUUCUUAGAGGGUUUGGUGAGAAUUCCUGUAAAUCUAAUCAUAAAUGCCUAGAAAGCACCAUGUGAGUUCUUAGGAACUGGUGGGGAAAUUUCAGAAAGCACCAGUAAAAUUCCUAGAAAACAACAGAUUAAUUUUUAAUUAGAUUAAUUGGUUAAUUUAAUUUUGUAGAAAACAACCAAGUUGGAAAGCACGAAUUGAAUUCCUAGAAAACAGUAUGAAAAUUGCUAAAAUACAACAGGAAAAAUUCCUAGAAAUGUUCUAGAAAAGAACAGAAAAAUUCCUAGAAAGCAUGAGGAGAAGUCACAAAAAGCAAAGGAAAUUUUCCUGGGCAGCAUAUGCUGAAACACUCUGAUAAAUUGCCUACAAAUGCACCCUCAAAUAAUUCUGAAAAACAGUUGGAAAAGUAGAAGUAGGAAAUUGCCUAGAAAGCAUCAGGAAUCUUCCUAUACAGACUCUAGCCCAAGGAAUUGUUGGAAAGAACAAUGUGAAUUCCUGAGAAGACCCUAGAUUGAAGAAAAGAAAACAACUGCUAUAUUCUUAGAAAGCCAUGGAGAUUUCCUGAAAGUUUUUGGAUUCUUGGAAAGCUGUGGGAAGUUCCUACAAAAGAUCUAGUUUAAGGCAUUGCUGGAAAGCAAUGAGAGUCUAGAGAGACAGUCUAGGUUGCAACAUUCCUCAAAAGCCAUGGGAGAUUCCUAGCCCGUUUUCCUUGGAGAAGUUUACCUUUAGGCAUAGCACACCUCAUUCUCCCAGUAUGCUGCAGGCACUCGGUGACUGUAGCGAGGAAGCAGCCACAGCAGAGCGUGCUGGUUCCCUGUGAUACAACAACUACUCUGCUGCGUGAGCACAACCAUCCUGGAGGAGUGAAGAGCAGAUGCAGUGCGUCCUAGCAGUCUCUGCUACAAAUAUUCACAAAUUUUGUGCUGAAAAACAUAGGGUAGGACAAUUGCAUCCUUAUAAACAGCCAUUUGGGGAAGGAGAAUGCAGAGCUGCCUGAGGGGCUUUUGUUGCUGCUUAUAUUAAAUUAAUUCAAGAAGCCCUUACGGUAGCUCAAGAAAAGAUCCACUCAUCAGAACUUAUCCUUUAUGGAGAGCCAGUCUUAUUCCUAAUGAGGUUUCACUGUCUUGUGCAGCUAAACAAAUUCCAAGAAAUAUAUUGGCAGAGGAGAGACUCAGCGUGAGCACCAGUUCGCACGCCGGGGUGCCGAUUAGCCACACGACCUGAUUAUGCCAAUAAUUAAAAAGGCAGCUUUGGGCACAGCCAGACAUCCUGGGAGUUGGACAGGUUACUGCUGUGGGUGCAGAAAAUUUUAAUAUCUUCCCUCUCUUAUUCUCUAAUUCUCCUCUGCAUUUGUGUCUCUUCUUUUUUUCCUUCUUUCCUUUCAUUUUUUGUCUUUCUUUUUCUUUCUUUUUUUAUCAAGCCAAAAGAUUUGGGGUGAAGCGCAUGCAUCACAAAGUGGUAAGGCACAAGGGUGGCUUUAUGGCACCACAUGUCUGAAGCCACACAGGAUCUGACUUGAGCCUGUGCAAUUUAGAACAAUCUUUAAGUAGCCUCUAUAGGUCACCUGGGAGCUGUUAGGAAACAGCUACAGUCUGGGCACACCAGCCUUGCCUUCAAAUUGCCUUCCGUCACAUCUGGCCAUUACAAUCAACUCAACCUUGAUGAUUCCUCUGAUUCUAGCAGAACAUUCAAGUUGCUGAUGAAGAAAGUGUUGGACGCUGCACGAAAAGACCAAAGAUUUUUGUCUGCCAGGUGCUGAGCGAGUCUGAUGCCUGCUACAGAGAUGAGCAUGGAAAGAGGGAGGUGACGAUCUCAUCAAACCAACAAGCAGUACCUGCCCUCUGCCACCACUUUACCACCCUUUCUCCAGCUCAAGUGCUGCACAUUGCUUUCAUUUUAUGCUUCCCAUGUUGUACCCUUUGGCUAGAUGUUUGGUUUAUGCAGGGGGGAAUUGUGUCUAUAUUCACAUAUAAAUUGAAAAUGUAUUAAAGCUGUCAGUUAUCCCGGUUUAUGUACAUAUUUUAUUUCUGCUUUAUAUUCAGCUCUA